rnacentral:tRNA from 1 species
GGAGGGGUGCCAGAGUGGUCGAUCGGGGCGGUCUCGAAAACCGUUGUUCCUUCGCGGGAACCGUGGGUUCGAAUCCCACCCCCUCCG